rfam:Rattus norvegicus chromosome 4, whole genome shotgun sequence.
AGGGAUUUAGCUCAGUGGUAGAGCACUUGCCUAGCAAGCGCAAGGCCCUGGGUUCGGUCCCCAGCUCUG